rnacentral:rRNA from 1 species
UACGUAGGGUGCAAGCGUUGUCCGGAAUUAUUGGGCGUAAAGAGCUCGUAGGCGGCCUGUCGCGUCGGCUGUGAAAACCCGGGGCUCAACCCCGGGCCUGCAGUCGAUACGGGCAGGCUAGAGUCCGGCAGGGGAGACUGGAAUUCCUGGUGUAGCGGUGAAAUGCGUAGAUAUCGGGAGGAACACCGGUGGCGAAGGCGGCGAUCUGGGUAGAUACUGACGCUGAGGUGCGAAAGCGUGGGGAGCAAACAGG